rnacentral:rRNA from 1 species
UACGUAGGGUGCGAGCGUUAAUCGGAAUACUGGGCGUAAAGCGUGCGCAGGCGGCGCGUUAAGACAGGUGUGAAAAGCCCCCGAGCUUAACUUGGGAAUUGCGCUUGUGACUGGCGUGCUGGAGUGUGGCAGAGGGAGGUGGAAUUCCACGUGUAGCAGUGAAAUGCGUAGAUAUUGGGAAAGAACACCGGUGGCGAAGGCGGCCAAUCUGGACCCGCAACUGACGCUGAGGCGCGAAAGCG